rnacentral:rRNA from 1 species
AUACGUAGGUGGCAAGCGUUAUCCGGAAUUAUUGGGCGUAAAGAGGGAGCAGGCGGCAGCAAGGGUCUGUGGUGAAAGCCUGAAGCUUAACUUCAGUAAGCCAUAGAAACCAGGCAGCUAGAGCGCAGGAGAGGAUCGUGGAAUUCAAUGUGUAGCGGGGAAAUGCGUAGAUAUAUGGAGGUACACCAGUGGAGAAGGCGACGAUCUGGCCUGCAACUGACGCUCAGUCCCGAAAGCGUGGGGAGCAAAUAGGAUUAGAUACCCUAUUAGUCCACGCCGUAAACGAUGAGUACUAAGUGUUGGAUGUCAAAGUUCAGUGCUGCAGUUAACGCAAUAAGUACUCCGCCUGAGUAGUACGUUCGCAAGAAUGAAACUCAAAUGAAUUGGCGGGG